GUCUCUGAGUGGUGGAUCACUCAGCUCAUGCAUCAAUGAAGAAUGCAGCUAGCUGCAAGAACUAAUGUGACUUGCAAGACACAUUGAUCAUCGGCACUUCAAACACACUUUGUGGCCCUGAGUUACUCCUAGGGCUACACCUGUCUGAGGGUUG